UACAUAAGGUGCGAGCGUUAAUCAGAAUUACUGGUCGUAAAGCGUGCACACGCGGUUAUAUAACACAGAUGUGAAAUCCCCGGGCUCCUCCUGGGAACUGCUUUUGUCACUGUAUCUCUAGAGUACGGCAGAUGAGGAUGGAAUUCCGCGUGUAGCAGUGAAGUGCGUAGAUAUGCUGAGGAACACCGAUGGCGAAGGCAAUCCCCUGGGGCUGUACUGACGCUCAUGCACGAAAGCGUGGGGAGCACACAAG
rnacentral:rRNA from 1 species